UACGAGGGGGGCAAGCGUUGUUCGGAAUUAUUGGGCGUAAAGGGUGCGUAGGCGGUUUGGUAAGUCUGUUGUGAAAGCCCUGGGCUCAACCUGGGAACUGCAGUGGAAACUGGACAACUAGAGUGUGGUAGAGGGUAGCGGAAUUCCCGGUGUAGCAGUGAAAUGCGUAGAGAUCGGGAGGAACAUCCAUGGCGAAGGCAGCUACCUGGACCAACACUGACACUGAGGCACGAAAGCGUGGGGAGCAAACAGG
rnacentral:rRNA from 1 species